AGGUGGUGGGACUCUGUCAAAGAAGAUGCGGGCCGGAGCAUCGUUCAGCUGAAAGAGGCGGCACUGGAUCGG